rnacentral:snRNA from 1 species
GUACUUACCUGGGAGGGGAGACACCAUGAUCACGAAGAUGGUUCCCCCAUUGCACUCCGGCUGUCUGACCCCUGUGAAUUCCCCAAAUGUGGGAAUGUCAACUGCAUAAUUUCUGGGUGUGGGGGACGGCGUUUGGGCUGGG